UUUGUUGGUUUUUUUUUUAGGAACUGCAGGCAAGAAAAAGAUUUCUGUCCAAAUCCGAAAGCGGUGUAAAUGGCCGAUCACGCAGCCGUAUUUCUGAAUAUCACAUAUUCGGAAUAAGAGGGAAUAGCUUCAAACUAAGCGUAGGUUUAGAUGAUGUGUUAGGGAAAAAUUGUUUGCUGUGAGGGCGCAAGGCACUGGCCCAGGCUGCCCUGAAAAGCUGUGGGUGCUCUGUUCCUGGAAAUGUUCACGGCCAGGUUAGAUGGGGCUUUGAGCAGCGUGGUCUGGUGGAAGGUGUCACUGCCCAUGGCAGGGGAGGUUGGGACUCGGUGAUCUUUAUGGUCCCUGCCAACCAGGCCAUUCUGUGAUUCCAUGAUUCUGUGAUCACAAGUGCCAUCCUAGAGGGGUUUGCACAUCUUUAAAGCCUGACUUUCAGUUUUCAACAGGGAUGCUGCAAACUCCCAUAAUUGUUUAAUUUCUCUUUGAUACAGAUAGAUGAAAGGUCUGUCUGCUCUGCUGAAACCCUGUAAGCACUUUUCCAUCACAAGUAUCCAUUAUGCAAAAUGAGCUUUGCUGCCAUGUGACUGACAAACAUAAAUUAUGUAUGGCUGGAGCAUCGAAAAGCUUACUAGUCCACGGCUUUGGGUUACAUCAGAGCUCAGCUUCUCAGAAACUCCCACAGCUCCCUCCUGUUAAUUAGCUUCCUGAAAUCCCCAUGUGUGACACAGACUGGCUUGUUUCUUUCGUUAUGACAAUGUGUCCAAAGCCAACACGUUGGUAGACAGCAAUAUUAAAGCGGGGGUAGGAAGCACGACAUCAGGAAAGGGAAUUUAAAGUGGCAGGUUACUGUUUUCCGGUCCCUUGAUGAACCUUGUUUUUGAGGAGCAGUGCACACAGAUGUCAUGUAUGGCACAGGUUGCUUUGAAUCUGUGAAGCCUCAUGCUGUGUUGAGAAGCCCAUGGGGAGACAAUGUUCACUCAAGGGCCCCUGAAACAAAGCCUUGAAAAUGCUGUCAGCCAAAAACCCAGUUACUCUUUACCCAUGUGGAAAUGCACGGAAGGAGCUCCAGCCAUGACCUGGCUCUCUGCUGGCACCAGAGCUGCAGGGAUGCCUCUGCAGCCCCUUGCUUCCUUCCUCACUGAGCGGGGAGGCACCGAGGGCCAGGAGCCAGGACCGUGGCACUCCAGCACCUGAACACUGAGGGACCACAAAGGACCUUGCAGGCUGCAUUUGUUUGCACACAAGAUGUGAAUAAUGAAGGAGUCUACAAAAUUCAGCUGGUGAAAUUCUAUCAGAGUUUGCAAGAAACAAAACAAACACAAAAACAGCCCAUCAAGUAAAAAUGGCUGAUAGAUGCAAAAGGCAACACAGAUGGAGGUAAUGGAGUUUCAAAAGAGGAAUUAGAGAAGAUCUGAAUGGAAGCUCGUAAAUCUGCAGCAAUUCAGCUUUGCCAAGAAUUGCAAUGGGAAAUCCUCAUUAUGGGAGAUAUUUCCAUUCUGUACUCACCGAAGAGAGCUUUGCUAGGGCAACCACAGGGAAAGCAGGAGACCCAGCCAUCAGCAUUCCUGAGCCCUGCCAGCCUGCACUGCUGACUCACAAGGCAGCCUUGAGUGAGUCACUCAUUGCCAGAUGCUUCCACCUGACCUUGUCAAGGUGCUGCAAACAAGGAAACAAAACAGACUCACCUUUGGCAACUCUGGCAAACAAGUCUUAUCAUGUUGUAUUCCAGCUUCCCCCACACCACCAGUAAGCAGUGUGGCCAAGGAAGAAGCUUUAGGCCAGACCAAGCCAUUUCUGGGACUGGGAGCCAUUUCCCUGGCAUGGCAGACACAUAAAGGAGUUGUUUGUAACAGAGGAAGACUUGACUGCAGCAAAGGAAGCAUGACAACUGGUGGAAUGUUCUUUCUACACAGAAAGUGGAGAACCUGGCAUAGGCAGCAGAGAAGCCAGUGCCUCAGCAGAUCCUGUGGAAAAGAUCAGUGAACAAGGAGAUGCAGAGUCCCAGGGAGGGAGCCACAUAAACAUCUGAAAUAUCGUCCUACCAUACAAACUCAGCUGAAGGGCUUAGAUAGAGGCUUAAUCUUCCACCAAAUGGGAAAAAUAUCACUGCUUCUAACAGUGGGCUAGUGAAUCCUUGAGGGCUAAAAAAUCUGUGGAUUUUUCUGUUUCAUUCCACUAGUUUCUCACCAGAGGGCAUGCCACAUUGCUAAUCUGGGAAGGACAGUCCUUGGUGUGACAAUCUGUCUCAAGGCAAUUGCUGUGAUGUGCUCUUUCUCUUCUAUGGUAUCAGAUGUGGGCAGCCUGAUCUAUGUUAGAAAAAAAGUUUUGUCAUCAAAAGUUUCUGAAAUAAUUCCCUUGGGACUGA